AGUUGAUUGUACAUCAAAUAAUUUUAAUAACUGCUACCUUUUUAAGUUCUUACUCCUUCAAAUUCCCACUGGUAUAUACAUCUUAGAUGCUGAUGACUUUCCCUUUGCCUUAUAUUUUAUAAUUCUGUGAAUUCAGUCAUUAGAGAUGCUUUUUGUUCUAUAUAUAUACUUUAUAGAAACAUACUAGGGUUAUGCCAGAGUUUAACCUGCCAUGUGGGAACUGUGAAAGUUGCAUAAAAUUUUUUCAGUUACAGAUAGUCUGUGAAUUAUCUGCCUUGUGCAGUCUCUUCUUAACAUGUUGAGUAAUUUUCCCUUUAUUUCCCAAGUAUCCUU
rnacentral:lncRNA from 1 species